rnacentral:rRNA from 1 species
CUUAAGGGGAAGUUGGUGAUCCUAUGCUGCCAAGAAAAUCUCCUAGCGAGGUUCUAGCCGCCCGUACCCCAAACCGACUCAGGUGGUUAGGUAGAGAAUACCAAGGCGAUCGAGUGAAUCGUGGUUAAGGAAUUCGGCAAAAUACCCCCGUAACUUCGGGAGAAGGGGGGCCCAGAGGGUGACGGGACUUGCUCCCCGAGCCUGAACGGCCGCAGAGACCAGGGAGAAGCGACUGUUUACUAAAAACACAGGUCCGUGCCAAGUCGCAAGACGAUGUAUACGGACUGACGCCUGCCCGGUGCUGGAACGUUAAGGGGACCGGUUAGCCUCACGGCGAAGCUGAGAACUUAAGCGCCAGUAAACGGCGGUGGUAACUAUAACCAUCCUAAGGUAGCGAAAUUCCUUGUCGGGUAAGUUCCGACCUGCACGAAUGGCGUAACGACUUCUCCACUGUCUCAACCACGAACUCGGCGAAAUUGCACUACGAGUAAAGAUGCUCGUUACGCGCAGAAGGACGGAAAGACCCCGGGACCUUUACUACAGCUUGGUAUUGGUGUUCGGUACGGCUUGUGUAGGAUAGGUGGGAGACUGUGAAGCUGACACGCCAGUGUAGGUGGAGUCAACGUUGAAAUACCACUCUGGUCGUUCUGGAUAUCUAACCUAGGUCCGUAAUCCGGAUCAGGGACAGUGCCUGGUGGGUAGUUUAACUGGGGCGGUUGCCUCCUGAAAGGUAACGGAGGCGCCCAAAGGUUCCCUCAGCCUGGUUGGCAAUCAGGCUUCGAGUGUAAGUGCACAAGGGAGCUUGACUGUGAGACUGACAAGUCGAACAGGGACGAAAGUCGGGACUAGUGAUCCGGCGGUGGCUUGUGGAAGCGCCGUCGCUCAACGGAUAAAAGGUACCCCGGGGAUAACAGGCUGAUCUUGCCCAAGAGUCCAUAUCGACGGCAUGGUUUGGCACCUCGAUGUCGGCUCGUCGCAUCCUGGGGCUGGAGUAGGUCCCAAGGGUUGGGCUGUUCGCCCAUUAAAGCGGUACGCGAGCUGGGUUUAGAACGUCGUGAGACAGUUCGGUCCCUAUCCUCUGCGCGCGCAGGAAACUUGAGAAGGGCUGUCCCUAGUACGAGAGGACCGGGAUGGACGGACCUCUGGUGUGUCAGUUGUUCUGCCAAGAGCACCGCUGAUUAGCUACGUUCGGGAGUGAUAACCGCUGAAAGCAUCUAAGCGGGAAGCAUGCUUCAAGAUGAGGUUUCCAUGGGGUUUACCCCGAGAGGCUCCCAGCUAGACUACUGGGUUGAUAGGCCGGAUGUGGAAGUGCGGUAACGCAUGGAGCUGACCGGUACUAAUAAGCCGAUAACUUGACU